CUCUGUGACUCCUACGGGAGGCAGCAGUGGGAAUAUUGCACAAUGGGCGCAAGCCUGAUGCAGCCAUGCCGCGUGUGUGAAGAAGGCCUUCGGGUUGUAAAGCACUUUCAGUUGUGAGGAAGGUGGUGUCGUUAAUAGCGGCAUCAUUUGACGUUAGCAACAGAAGAAGCACCGGCUAACUCCGUGCCAGCAGCCGCGGUAAUACGGAGGGUGCGAGCGUUAAUCGGAAUUACUGGGCGUAAAGCGCAUGCAGGUGGUUUGUUAAGUCAGAUGUGAAAGCCCGGGGCUCAACUCGGAACUGCAUUUGAAACUGGCAGACUAGAGUACUGUAGAGGGGGUAGAAUUUCAGGUGUAGCGGUGAAAUGCGUAGAGAUCUGAAGGAAUACCCGGUGGCGAAGGCGGCCCCCUGGACAGAUACUGACACUCAGAUGCGAAAGCGUGGGGAGCAAACAGGAUUAGAUACCCUGGUAG
rnacentral:rRNA from 1 species